CUCUUGUGGAAAACAACCCCUUUUCCUCAAGAGAGGCCGAAGACUUGGAGAAAGAAAUUGCUUCAUGAAUAUGGCAAAUUUACCUGGUAAUAACAAAAUGGUAUAAGUGUGGAAUGCAGAAUAAAGAACAGAAAUGGUCCCUUCCCUAGAAAAAAGGUUUUCUAACAAAGUUGCUGUAAAUACAAGAGACUACUUUUGGGAAGAAAGGAGUUUCCUAUUACUGAUGAUGUUCAAACAGAAUCACAAUCAUUCACUUGGUGUGUUUUCAAGGGGAUUCAGUAGUGCAUGGGAGUGCGAGGAGAGUCUAAGAUUCUCUGACUUCACUGUGAAGCACUAGAACUUUACAAUCAAGAUACCUCGUCUGGAAUUUCAUUUUGAAAAGUAAAGGAAUCAUAUAUAAACCUCCAGUGAUCAAAGCAGAUCAUUCUUGGGAGCAAAAAGAGCCAACACGAAGCCUGUAUUUCCUUGUACCAGCAGCUACUCCAGAAGAGAAAAAAAGUAAUGUGCAUAUAAUUCUCUAUUGUUUUUCAUACUACCAUUUCAGAGAACAGUUUUGACAGGUAUUGGAAGCACAGCCCAUGAGUCUAGGAUCACUUCUCGCUAACUGUUUAUGCUUCUGUGAUCAAUCUUUCUGCACUACAAACCUGGAGCAUCAUGGAGUACUCCCGGGGCUGACUCACCAUUUAAACAUGCUCCCUUCCACCUCCCAGUCUCAUUAGUAUGUAUGAUUUCAGCAAUGAAUAUAUACCUCUUGUACAAUGAGGCCAAAUGUAUGUUACCAUACUAGCAAUAACUUUGAUCAUUUAGAAAAGGAUAAUCACGAACAAUUUGAACCAUAAAUAGUUGAUUUAAGAUAUUACUAUCUAGAAAAAGUUAUCUGUUUUUAAAGUUGAAUCAGUGCUCAGUUAUAAAAUCAGUCUUACUAACCUCCUCGAGCAAAGCUAUUGGAUGGGUUUACAUCCAAAUGUCCUGGCACUACCUGCUUAAGCACAGUGGACAUUCUUGAAGUCCUCCUUUCAGUCCCUAAAGUCAGCCAAAAAGAAGAACAAAAACCAUGUCGUUUGGGUUAACAUUACUCAAAUGACAAAAAGUUAUCUUCAUGUGUAGCAUGUCUAAUUGCUGCCAAACAUUGUACUUUUUAAGUACCCGAAGCUUUAACAGAAAUAACAAAGCACUGUUACUAUUUCCUCAGAGAUACACACAUUUGCAAGAUUAUAGAGUUAGGUUUGGCAAGUGCAAUCAGAGAAUUUAAUGGUAAAUGAAGCAAGGCAUGCAUGGUGUUACUUUCCAAGAAAAGCCACUUUCUGCUUAUGUUGAGAUAAUUCAAAUAGCUGAUUAAGCCAAGGAGACCAACUUUUCAAGUCACAUGCUCCUGUGUCUGACACAUUAGGGUUACCUCUACAUGAACCCUUUGGGGUUCCAUCACAUGAUAACUGAAACAGAAUAUUAGUACAAGUCUUAAUUGCUUUAUCCAAAUCUAGUGAAAACAAACUGUACUGCAAAUUAUAAAAUGCUGUGGAAAUUUUGGGAAUUUCAAACUUACAAUCUUAACAAAUAUACAUUUAAUAAACAUUCAACUUUAUAUUUUAUAAUUUAAAGUUAUUGUAAAACAAAUUCUAGGAGAAAAAAACAAAACCAGAUGGCUUUAUGUUCCCACCUCCUCUCCUGCUCUUUUCAAAAGAAAGUAAUUAUAUUUCUAAUUUGUUACUAUUUAUUAGAAAGUAAUAGUGGUGCUCUGAGUUUUAAAUAAAAGGAGCAUCAUGUUGAAAGGAACAGAGCAAGUAACUAAAGAGACUAACCCUAAGAACAAAUCUGACCUUUCAUUGUUGUCAAGAAGGAAAGUAUUGUCGAAUCUUACCUGGAGACAGAGCAAAUGCUGGCCUGACAGUAAGGGUGUUAUUGCCAUUGAGUUUUUGAUGGACAGAAACUGCACUCAGCAAGGCUUGCAAGUACUUUUCUUGUUCUAUGCUACUGGAGGAUUCUAGAGAGGAGGUAGGAGCUAUAAAAGGAAAAAAAUAUUGAAUAAAACAAU